CAACUUAUCCUGAACGAAGAAGACUUCAAACCAUCUCAUGCUAUCAUCAAAAACCUUUGUCAACUGUUUAGUACAGUAGAGGAAUCUAUUUACCUUAAUGGUUGGGAAAUUGACCAACAAGGUAUUGAUGCCCUACAAUCGGAUUUAAUAAUGUUAAACAAAAAACUGAGAAUUCGCAUUAACGGUGUUUAUCUAUCAGCAUCCACCGAUCAGCAAGGCUAAUCUUCACGAAUUCAAAAGAAACUCAAUUAGACGUAUUUUCAAAUAAGGAAGAAACUGAGAAUAAAACACGGAUGGUGAAGUGUUGUCCCAAAUUGAAUUGAUUAUUCGGUGCUCCUGAAGUAUGUGUAACAAGAUGGCGCACAGCCUGAACAUAGUAUGUGAACCAGGUUAGGAUUCAUGUUGUACGUCAUCGUGAUACGAAUACUUCCUGAGCGCCGAUUAUUGAGCACAUAGUCGUGUAUUCGUUGAAUCACGUUGGGUUCAAGAUAUUUAGGUAUAGUCUAAUUUUGAUUCGUUGCUUAUAUUCGUUACUCCGUGAUUUGUGGUAUUACUUGUCAAAAAUGAUAUACUGUCAAAUACCGCAAGAAAUAUUUAAUUAUAUUUUGAAAGGAAUUUUGAAAGUUUCGAUAAUUUGCUUAUUUUAAAAUUAUGCGACAUUGUGGCGGUACAUGUAUAUCAUUCAUUCAUUUUUUUUAUUCAUUAAUUUUUGUCAUAUGGUUUAUUUAUCACUAAUAUUAUCACUAAUAUUCAAUAUUUAAUACAUGUAGUUCUAAAUUGUAGUUUUGUUUAGUAAACAAAAUUUCAAAUGUUACGCAAAUGGUUUAUGAGUAUAAUAAUUUAUUCUAAUAUUCUGUGGAUUGAUAACAAAUGCAAAACAAUGCCAAAAUUUUACUACUUAUCCAUACUUUGUUUUCCGAAGAAAUGAACACUCUAUGACGAGUACCUAAAUUGCAAAUCGAAAGUUAAAUGUGUAUACUCACUUUUAAGACACCGUGUAUAUAUAAACUCUGCUUGAAUUUUUUGUAUAUUUAAUUUGCAUGCUGAUGUUAAAAUAGCUUGGUCAAUGAUUUAUUUUAACAAAAUGAGUAGUAAAAAAUUUUUGAAAUACAAACUAAGCA